rnacentral:rRNA from 1 species
GACGAACGCUGGCGGUGUGCUUCACACAUGCAAGUCGAACGAGGUAGCAAUACCUGGUGGCGGACGGGUGAGUAACGCGUGGGAAUCUGCCUUUAGAUGGGGGGAUAACGGGUCGAAAGACUCGCUAAUACCGCAUAUGACGAAAGUUGAAAGGAGUAAUCCGUCUAAAGAUGAGCCCGCGUCCGAUUAGCUAGUUGGUAGAGUAAAAGCCUACCAAGGCGACGAUCGGUAGCUGGUCUGAGAGGAGUGAUCAGCCACAAUGGGACUGAGACACGGCCCAUACUCCUACGGGAGGCAGCAGUGGGGAAUUUUACGCAAUGGGCGAAAGCCUGACGUAGCGACACCGCGUGAGCGAAGAAGCCCCUUGGGGUGUAAAGCUCUGUCAGCUGG